rnacentral:piRNA from 1 species
UGGGUCUUAGAACUGACCCCUGGGUCAUUGA